rnacentral:rRNA from 1 species
GACGAACGCUGGCGGCGUGCUUAAUACAUGCAAGUCGAACGGAAAGGCCCUGCUUUUGUGGGGUGCUCGAGUGGCGAACGGGUGAGUAACACGUGAGUAACCUGCCCUUGACUUUGGGAUAACUUCAGGAAACUGGGGCUAAUACCGGAUAGGAGCUCCUGCUGCAUGGUGGGGGUUGGAAAGUUUCGGCGGUUGGGGAUGGACUCGCGGCUUAUCAGCUUGUUGGUGGGGUAGUGGCUUACCAAGGCUUUGACGGGUAGCCGGCCUGAGAGGGUGACCGGCCACAUUGGGACUGAGAUACGGCCCAGACUCCUACGGGAGGCAGCAGUGGGGAAUAUUGCACAAUGGGCGGAAGCCUGAUGCAGCAACGCCGCGUGCGGGAUGACGGCCUUCGGGUUGUAACCGCUUUCGCCUGUGACGAAGCGUGAGUGACGGUAAUGGGUAAAGAAGCACCGGCUAACUACGUG